UCGAGAAUCUUCUGCAAUGGGCGAAAGCCUGACAGAGCGACGCCGCGUGGAGGAUGAAGGCCCUCGGGUCGUAAACUCCUGUCACAUGUUAUGAAAGGUGCGGGUUCACUCGCACCCUGACAAAGGCAUGAGAGGAAGUCACGGCUAACUUCGUGCCAGCAGCCGCGGUAAGACGAAGGUGGCUAGCGUUAUUCGGAUUUACUGGGCAUAAAGCGCACGUAGGCGGCCUUGUAAGUCGGAGGUGAAAGCCCGCAGCUCAACUGCGGAAUUGCCCCCGAUACUGCUUGGCUUGAGUGCAGGAGGGGUGACUGGAACUCCAGGUGUAGCGGUGAAAUGCGUAGAUAUCUGGAGGAACACCAGAGGCGAAGGCGGGUCACUGGACUGCAACUGACGCUGAGGUGCGAAAGCUAGGGGAGCGAACAGGAUUAGAUACCCCAGUAGUCCCUGAGCGGGCUGGCAAGGCGCAU
rnacentral:rRNA from 1 species